GUGCUUGCUGUUCAAGUUGGAUCGUUGGAGCGUCUAGGUGUUUUCUUUCUUUUGUUUUCAAUGUCUAAAUAUGUUUAUCUUUGCUUUGUGAGUAUGAGGAACUAAACCCCCUUAGCUAAGGGGGAAUUCGAAACCAUGUUCCUGCUUGCAAUAUGAUUUGAUUACUUCUAGUUGUGUUUCGUAAGUUGUGAAUUCAAUUUACUUAUCUAUAUGAAUUAAAACUGAUUUGUGUGUGUUGGUUGAGAGUGCACGCUUUCAUGCAUAAAUCUGAUGCUAGAAUAUAAGGGAGUUUCACCUUAUCGUUAUAAACUUAUAUUCACGAGUAGUAAAGGUUGCUAAUCACAAUCGCGUUAAGUAAAUUCUUGGUAUAAGUUUCAUGCAAUUCAUAGUAACAAGUGCCUCGUCAAUGCUUAUGAUUUUCAUAGAACUUAAUGAUCUUUGCUUGUAUAUCUAUUAUGCAAUUCGUGUGGGGAACUUGUGGGGAAUACUUUGGGUUGUCGUAUGCAAUCAUCCAAUUCAAUAACUUUUGGAAAAUCUAAGGGUUAAUUAGUGCAAUUCACGGUUAAUCUGGGGCGUUGGGAAUUCAUGGUUUAUUGAAAAGCAAUUGGAAAUCGUUUUGUAUGCAAGUGUGACAUGUGUGGAGAAGAACCUCCUAGCUAGCCUUUUAUCCAUUCACUUUACUCAAAUUCGUCCAGAUUUCAUUAGUUCUUUACUUUGCUUGUUUUGUUUUCAAAUUCGUCAAAAUCAAACCCCCCAUUUUCUUUGUUGAGUCAUAUUAGUUAAAAAGUGAUUUUGUUUGUGUUUUUAACCUAUUUUCGUCCAAAUUCACUCGAAGUGGCAGAUUUGAGUCUUUUAGCUUGUUUUGUGCUGUUUUGAGUCUUUUAAGUUGUUUUAGUGUUUUAUAGUUUAGUUUUGCAUUCUUUGAGUCUAGCUUAGUGUUUUAAACUUUGUUUUACAUUUUUGAGUCAGUUUUAAGUGUUUUAGCAAUCCCUUCUAAUCCCCGGCCUAGAACGAUCCCUACUUACAUUCUUUACUACAAUUGAUAAAAAGAGGGUUUAAUUUGUGUGCUUAUAGAUUUCGCAUCACUGAAAACUGAAAAAUAUAGAUUGACUAACUUUAAAUUAUAAGAAAUAUGAACAUAUAUACUAAAUUUUACAAACUAAAACAAAUUAGGAAAUUAAUUAAAAGAAAUUGCAAGACGUCAAUUUAAUAAAAAAAUAAUCGUAAUUUAGAAACAAAAAUUGCAAGAGGGAUUAAGAGUAAAAUGCAUACUUUGGGUUGUAGGCCAACAAACUAAACUUCAAUUUCUUUUUCUUUGUUGGAAUAAUGGAAUUAAUCUUCUAAUCUAUAAAACAAAUAUUAUUUGUUGAAUUAAUUUACAUAUAGAGAUAACAACCUAUAUAAAUUUGACAAAUUGCAAAAAUAUUAAAGAUGAUAAAUUGUGGAGAUUUGGAGUUCUUGCUCUACUAUAAUUGCUUUGUGAACAAUGAGACAGUGAGAGACAAAAAAAAACAAUAGUUAUAUGAUGGGGGAGGAGUGAUAUCUUUUUGUUCCAAAUAAAAUAUUUAUUUUAUUAUUGGUAAGUGAAAUAGAUGUGAGAUUGUGUAAAAGUCUAUAUCAAUUAAUUUUUUUAGUAUUGGAAAGGUGGCUGUGGAGCCAAAAAUAAUUAAGAGGCGACACGUGGAUUUUUAGGUGAAGAUGACAAAAUUGCCCUCGAGACACACCGGGUUACCUACACGCAAACAGUGGACAAUCAUCUAUCAACCGAGUCAAGAGUGCCCAAAAUAGGUAACAAGUUCAAAUUUAUCUCAUCCAUCUUUACUCCAUAUCCUCUACAAGGAAAUCAUUACAUGACCUCCAAAACCCCCAAAACAUUUCUUUUAUUACGAUAAUUAGCCAAUUAGUAUAUUUAUACAUAAUUAAUAUAUUAAUUGCUAAUUGAAUCACCAAAUAACACCCCAAAAAACACUUAAAGGCCGGCCACCUUUCUCCAAAGGGAACCGACCACACUCCCCUAUAAAAGCCCUAUUCUCUUCUCCAAAAGGGACUUCUCAUACUCUUGCAAAACUCCCAAAAACUCUCCAAAUACUUUUCUCUCUAAAUUCUAACUUUGGCAUCGGAGGUUCUUCGGCCAAAGCCCCCCCCCCCAAUUCAUCGUGGGCGCGUGAGGCUCUUGGCCUUGACCUAAGGUGUUAAUUGUUUUGUAGGUGCAAUUUUGUCCAAGAAGAAGAAUGCGGAAAUUUGCAUCCACAGUGACCAAUCUUAGUAAAAGUCUAUAUCAAUUGAUUAUUUUAAUAUUGGAAAGGGGGCCUGAUGCGAAAUAGAUAAGCACACAAAUUAAACCCUCUUUUUGUCAAAUUGUAGCAAAGAUGUAAGUAGGGAUCGUUCUAGACGGGGGAUUAGGAGGGAUUGCUAAACACUUGGAAACUGACUAAAAAACUCAAAAACAAAGUUUAAAACACUAAACUAGACUCAAAGAAUGCAAAACUAAAGGUUAAAACACUUAAACAACCCUAAAACUCAAAACAGCAACCUAAUGACUCAAAACUGCCUAAAAACCACUUUCUGGGCAGUUUUAAGAACCUAACAAGAACUUGGACGAAAUUGGUGAAAACUUGAAUCAAAACACUUAGAAACACAAAUCAAAACACUUUCUAACUAAUCUAAGACUUCAAAAUAAAGGGGGAUUUGUUUUGGACGAAAAUUGAAAACAAAACAGAAACUUAAAACUAAACAGAUUGUAAAACGAUUUUGGUGAAAUAGAUGGUUAAAAGGCUAGUUAGGAGGUUCUUCUCCACACAUGUCACACUUGCAAA
rnacentral:lncRNA from 1 species